UACGUAGGGUGCGAGCGUUAAUCGGAAUUACUGGGCGUAAAGCGUGCGCAGGCGGUCUGUUAAGUCCGAUGUGAAAUCCCCGGGCUUAACCUGGGAACUGCAUUGGUGACUGGCAGGCUUUGAGUGUGGCAGAGGGAGGUAGAAUUCCACGUGUAGCAGUGAAAUGCGUAGAGAUGUGGAGGAAUACCGAUGGCGAAGGCAGCCUCCUGGGCCAACACUGACGCUGAUGCACGAAAGCGUGGGGAGCAAACAGG
rnacentral:rRNA from 1 species